rnacentral:lncRNA from 1 species
UAGAACUGGGGAGGAGCCUGAGGUUCUGCCUUUCUUGCAAGUGCUUGGAUGCAGGCUGCUGGGCAAAGGCAUCACUGAGGAGCAAGAUUCUAGACCACAAAAUACACCACAAAAUCUUCUCCCUAAAUGUGUUAAAAAUGGACUCUUGUCUAUAGUAGCCUGUAUCUUGAUGAUCUCUUUGCCCUUUUCUAGAUAUUUCAGCCAUUCCCUGUGAGACUAAAUUAUGAAAAGCAGAUGGCUUAUUCAAACAUAUGGAUAUGACAGUGCAAGUUCUGGUGAGGACAGAAGCAUCUCAGAGAACAUUUUCUCCUUGAGAAUCCAAGAAAGGUUGUGUCUGUGGUCUGUGUUCCUUUCUACUGGGGACAGUGGAUGGAGGAAAGCAAAAACGGAGCCCUGGGAUGAUCAUGCCAUGAGACAGCAGGAAAUUGGGGCCUCCAAAUCUCUGCAGGAAGGAAAGGACUGCAGACCAAAAACAGCUAAAUUCUUAUGUCAGGGAGCAAUACAAUCUAUUGAGCUAAGCUACCAAACAUGUGAGCAUUUUAUUUGGUUUUGUUAUAGCAGCUGGUGUUACACUUAACAAUAAAGUCUUGAUGAAGCUUGAAUAGAAGCAUUAUCUA